GUAACGAGCGCAACCCUUGCCUUAGUUACCAGCACGUUAUGUGGGCACUCUAAGGAGACUGCCGGUGACAAACCGGAGGAAGUGGGGAUGACGUCAAGUCAUCAUGGCCCUUACGGCCUGGGCUACACACGUGCUACAAUGGUCGGUACAAAGGGUUGCCAAGCCGCGAGGUGGAGCUAAUCCCAUAAAACCGAUCGUAGUCCGGAUCGCAGUCUGCAACUCGACUGCGUGAAGUCGGAAUCGCUAGUAAUCGUGAAUCAGAAUGUCACGGUGAAUACGUUCCCGGGCCUU
rnacentral:rRNA from 1 species